GUGAUUGCUUCGGCAGCACAUAUACUGACAUUGGGAUGAUGCAGAGAAGAUUAGCAUGGCCCCUACGCAGGGAUGACACACAAAACAAAACAAAACAAAACAAAACA